rnacentral:rRNA from 1 species
CACGAUCUCCAGCGACGACGGGUAGCCGGCCUGAGAGGGCGACCGGCCACACUGGGACUGAGACACGGCCCAGACUCCUACGGGAGGCAGCAGUGGGGAAUAUUGCACAAUGGGCGAAAGCCUGAUGCAGCGACGCCGCGUGAGGGAUGACGGCCUUCGGGUUGUAAACCUCUUUCAGCAGGGAAGAAGCGCAAGUGACGGUACCUGCAGAAGAAGCGCCGGCUAACUACGUGCCAGCAGCCGCGGUAAUACGUAGGGCGCAAGCGUUGUCCGGAAUUAUUGGGCGUAAAGAGCUCGUAGGCGGCUUGUCACGUCGGAUGUGAAAGCCCGGGGCUUAACCCCGGGUCUGCAUUCGAUACGGGCUAGCUAGAGUGUGGUAGGGGAGAUCGGAAUUCCUGGUGUAGCGGUGAAAUGCGCAGAUAUCAGGAGGAACACCGGUGGCGAAGGCGGAUCUCUGGGCCAUUACUGACGCUGAGGAGCGAAAGCGUGGGGAGCGAACAGGAUUAGAUACCCUGGUAGUCCACGCCGUAAACGUUGGGAACUAGGUGUUGGCGACAUUCCACGUCGUCGGUGCCGCAGCUAACGCAUUAAGUUCCCCGCCUGGGGAGUACGG